CUAAGGUCCUUCCGCUGAUGGGCUCUGGUGAGUGGUUCUGAAAGCUAAGGAUGCAUCAGUGGCCAAUGCCCCUGCAGUUCUUCUGUAGUCACCAGUUUUGUAGCAGGUGGCACCAGGCAGAAGGAAGCCUGCUGCUUCGGCACCGAUGGAGGCGCCCACGUUUCCGUGUGGUGGAGGCCGGAGGGGCAGCCGAGAGACCUAGGCGGGACCCGCACGCAGAGCGCUCACUGCCUUCCAGGGAAUCAAGCUCCAGGAAGAGGUGGCCUUGCCGGGUCCCUGGGCAGGAUGCCAGACCCUGCCACUCCCAGCCCCACCAUCACAGCAUCCUGGAGGGCCUAGGUCCCCACUAGGCCCCCCGGCCCUCGGGGAGCACUCACUCUGCAUCAGACUGCGGUUCUCUAACAAUUUUGGUACCAAGAGCCUUUGCAUGCGUGAUGAGAUAAGGUGGUCAUUUUUAUCCCAUUUUGCAGAUGAGAUGAACGAGAUUCGGGGAGGGGAAGGGACUAGCUAGAAGAGAGUGGGGUGCAGGGAGAGAGCUGGUUGUCAGGCACCCGCACAGGCGUUGUUUCUGUAACGCCUGCACUUGGCCCUGUAAAGCAGAUAGCGUGAUGCCCAUUAACAGAGGGGAAACCACAGACUUCACUGGGCCGAAAAAAACUGCACAUCCAGCAAGUGGCUGAGUGGGACGUGGGCCUGCCCUCUUCCCCCGAGCGAGCGAGCAUGGUGCCCUUCACGUGUCGUAUUGUUGCUGCCACACCAGCCCCUCUCUCCCCAGGACCCCCAUCUUCACUCGCCAGAGCUGGAAAGCCCAACCGCCCCAGUACCAGCCUGGUUUCCAGCUCUGCCCUCAUUUGCUCCUGCUUGGCUUCGCUGGUCUCUGAAGGUUUCUCCCUGGGUCCACUCUGACCCUCAAAAUGUGGCUCAGCAAACCCUGCCACGUGCGCAGUGCCCCCACUGCUCGGCCUGGCCCACUCCCGCUGUACUGACCAGCCACCUCCCUGGCCCUUUGCCCGCCUGCCCUGCAGGUCCUGCCUGGCUCUCUCAGCCCAGCCUGACUCUGGGCCUUGGUCUGUCGUCCCCGGGCGGCAGGUCCACGGUCACCUCACAGCCCAGCGGAUGAAAUUACCGUCUCGCCUUCGAUUUCUGGGCAAGUCAGCUUUGACACGAGCCUCGUUCUGCCCACGCUGGGGCUGGUUUGGCCCGUCUCAGCAGGUGGAGGCCUGCCCCUGCUUGAUCCCCCAGGAAGCACCUUCAGCAACCUGUGGUAUCACGGCAUUCACAGACGUUUCCAGCUUUUAAUUAUUUUCUGGAGCCUUUGUCUCCAAAACCAGGUGUUUUUCCAGGUCUGGCUUCUCUAAUGGAUUUUUCCUGGACUGACCCCUUGAAUCCUUCCUGUGAGGAAGGCACCACGAUGCUCCCAUGCACAAUAGGAACGCUGAGGAAAAGGUGCAAUGAAACUCGUCCAGAGUGAGCAAUCUGCUGGAGUCCGGGUUCAAACCCAGAGAGUCUGAUCCCAGGGCUUAGUCUUGGCCAUCACCUCACCAUGUAAUCAUGGUGAUCAGGGAAGAGUAGACUUCGGGGUCGGAAUUCUAGUUUGCUCCUUAUUCUGUGAAACUGGCAAGUUAUUUAACCUGUCAGAAUAUUGGUUCCCUCACAGGUAAAAAUUAGACUAAUAGUGACCAUAUCAGGUAGGGCUUGUUAACGAGAAUUACAGAGCACACUGUGUGGAAGUGUCUAGAACAGUGUCUGGUACGUGCUGGGUUGCUUCCCUCACUUCCUCUCAGAGAGUCUUCAAAGCGCCUGCUGCCAUGGUGAUCACUUCAGAGCCAAGUACCUCAGGGUCAAGGGGUUUUUUAAAAAGCUCAUUGAACUGUUCUAGAAAAACACUUCUAAGUUUCCAGAGAUUUUUUUUUUUUUUUUAAUCAUCUGAUGAGGAGAAGAGAAGAAAAAUCUUGGUCUUCCUUGAGAUUGUGGCUGGAUUGACUGCAUUUACUAUCAUUUCAUGUAUAUGUAAUAAAACACAGUGGUUUUCAUAUAAUAUAUAAACCGUCAAAUAAUCCUAUUUGGUCAGUAGUCUGGUAUUUCUAGCUUGUCAGGAAGCCAACAUGCAACAGUCUGUGUCGGCUUCAGGAAGAGAAACUUUUCCAUUCUCUCUGAGAUAAGGCUUGUUGUCCUUGGUUCCCGGUCCCAAAGAGGACUGUGGGGAUGUUGGGGGGAGGCCGUAGGUGAUUCCUCUCACGUGUAAACGAGGCCUGAGCUCCUUCCAGAAGGCAGCAACCACGUGCUCCCUGAACCGGGCACUCCUUGCACCGGGCCCAGCCCUCCUCUGAUUGGCACAAAUGAGAAUUUCGGAGUUGCUUCACAGAGGGAUGGGUCCUACGUGGGCACAGAACAAAGCCAGGAGCUGAGCUGCUUUUCAGAGAAUCCGUGGCCAUAAUUCUAAUUCUUCUUCCUUCCCUUGGGCCAAUAUUUAACCUCCCCAAGGCCUAUUUUUUAAAAAUCAUUUGAAAAGUUUGAAUGACACUAUAAGUGUCUCUGAAAAUGCAGGGUAAAAAAAGAUGCAGAGUAAAUACAACUUCCUUUUCCUUAGGUUAUUCUGUAUCCUUGGACUAUAUCUGCAAUGUUCUUCCCUCUUCUUCCCCUUCCUCUUUUUCCAGCAAAUUCCUAUGUAUCCUUUAAGGCCCAGCUGAGAAGCUGCCUCCUCCAGCAAGCCCUCCCAUAUUCCAGCAGUCUGAUAAUGGCUGUCCUUCUCUGUCUUCAUAAGGCCCAGACUUCUUUCUAUCAAGGCACUAAUGACCUAUUCCAUUAAACAGUGAACUCCUAGCUGGUAAAAUGGGCCUUGGUCACCUUUGGACUCCCAGAACCGAGGCAGAUCACACCAGCUUGUGGAAUUUAAAUACGAGAAUGUUGAUAAAUCCCAGAACAAAGUUUGGAGGACGAAGUCAAUGUCCAGCACCUGCCAGAUUCUGGAUCCCAAAAUUGCAGAGUCAUGCUGAGUCGUAAAGGACAGUCCCUGGCACUCGUCACUGCUUACAUAAUGGCCCCUCCUGCUGGAUCCAGGCUCCCUCUACAGAGACCACCAGCCCCGCGUGAGACUCACUGCCUUCUUGGGAAUACAGUUCCUGUGGCCCCUCAUUCUGUGGAUUGGCCAGCAUCUCUGGAGAGAGCAGAUUGGAGGUGACCACAUAAGAGCACACCUGUCCAGGAGUGCAUCCACCUGCCUCUCCCCUCCACCUACCCUCUCCACCCCACUCAGCUCUUCCCACUCCCCACCUGGAUCCCUCUGCUGGAGCAGGAUAGGUUUUCAGGAACUGACACGAUGUCCUCCCUCAUCUCUAAGCCUGAUCUGCUUCUGGCUUAUCUGGUUCUGCUGAGAUCAUGGAAAAAUGAACCCCAGUCAUAUCUACAGAGUGGCCUCAGUGUUCACCUCAUGGGGUCAUUCCAUUUGACAGCCUGAGAGUGACUCAGAAACUGCCCUUGGUUCACUAGGGCCAGAUGGGAGGUUCCUCUCUUGCAAGCUUAUCUUCCCUUUGCAGCCCUGGUCUCUAACUGCCGUGGGUUGCAAAAUCAAAGAAAAAAUAUUUACAAUGAGAGUUGACCUAAAAAAGACUUAGAUGGGGGUCAGCAUACUUUCAGCUUGGCUUGACCUCCUCCUGACAAAGCCCUGGGGAGAGGGGGCACUGUGUGGUGAGAAGAG